UACAGAGGGUGCAAGCGUUAAUCGGAAUUACUGGGCGUAAAGCGUGCGUAGACGGUUACAUAAGUCGGGUGUGAAAGCCCCGGGCUCAACCUGGGAAUUGCAUUCGAGACUGCGUAGCUAGGGUGCGGAAGAGGGAAGCGGAAUUUCCGGUGUAGCGGUGAAAUGCGCAGAUAUCGGAAGGAACACCAGUGGCGAAAGCGGCUUCCUGGUCCAGCACCGACGUUCAGGCACGAAAGCGUGGGGAGCAAACAGG
rnacentral:rRNA from 1 species